AGCGAACGUUAGCGGCAGGCCUAACACAUGCAAGUCGCACGAGAAUUCGGUUUCGGCCGAUAGUAAAGUGGCGGACGGGUGCGUAACACGUGGGUAAUCUGCCCUUCGGCGGGGGACAACAGUCCGAAAGGAUUGCUAAUACCGCAUACGUCGGCGAGGUUUACGAACCUUGCUGGGAAAGCAGGCCUCUUCAUGAAAGCUUGCACCGAAGGAUGAGCCCGCGGCCCAUCAGCUAGUUGGUAGGGUAAUGGCCUACCAAGGCUUAGACGGGUAGCUGGUCUGAGAGGAUGAUCAGCCACACUGGGACUGAGACACGGCCCAGACUCCUACGGGAGGCUG
rnacentral:rRNA from 1 species